rnacentral:rRNA from 1 species
GACGAACGCUGGCGGCGUGCUUAACACAUGCAAGUCGAACGGAAAGGCCCUGCUUUUGUGGGGUGCUCGAGUGGCGAACGGGUGAGUAACACGUGAGUAACCUGCCCUUGACUUUGGGAUAACUUCAGGAAACUGGGGCUCAUACCGGAUAGGAGCUUCUGCUCCAUGGGGGGGGUUGGAAAGUUUCGGCGGUUGGGGAUGGAUUCGCGGCUUAUCAGCUUGUUGGUCGGGUAGUGGCGUACCAAGGCUUUGACGGGUAGCCGGCCUGGGAGGGUUACCGGCCACAUUGGGACUGCGAGACGGCGCAGAAGCCUACGUGAGGCAGCAGUGGGGAACAUUGCACAAUGGGCGGAAGCCUGAUGCAGCAACGCCGCGUGCGGGAUGACGGCCUUCGGGUUGUAAACCGCUUUCGCAGGAGCCGAAGCGUGAGUGACGGUAAUGGGUAAAGAAGCACCGGCUAACUACGUG